UCCGUUCGCCUCGGCCUCCCAAAGUGCCAGGAUUACAGGCAUGAGCCACCGCGCCUGGCCGUAACUGAUUCUUUAUAUAUAAUUGUUGCCUAAUUCCUAGCAUACUGAGAUCCUAUUUAUUUAUUUAUUUAUUUAUUUAUUUAUUUAUUUAUUUAUUUUCUGAGAUCUAAUUUAGACCAUGGAGAAGAAAAACAAAAAGGUGGUAUUAAUAAACUGCUUUGGGGAGUAAAAGAACCUCUUAGAAUCCACGACAUCAUGGAUGGAAGAGAUCCUUAAGGAGGGAAUGAAGCACAGCUCAGAGUGGGAAGGUUAGCAAUGUUCAAGACCAAAGUUAAUCAUCUCUACAUGAGUCAAUUGAAAGAAAAGAAUUAAAAGCAUUAAAAAAAAAACAAUAUGAGUAAUGGGAGGAGCUGAUGAAGCCUGCUGCCCAGAUGAGGAUUGGAAACUAUUUAAACUGGAUAAUACAGUAUGUGUUUUAGCUCUGAGAAAACAGAAGUUGAACUUUUGAGUAGUAAUCAAGGGCACGGUCUCAAAGUAUUUGCAAAUAGUGCUGGUAUGGAGAACAGAUGCCGACAUUAUUGCCAAUGGGAAUCACAAUGUGAUAGUUGGAGUGAGAGACUAAAAGAAACCACAGGGAAUUUUUGCAGAAAGCUUGGCAUUGAACAUGAUUUAUGGUUGAUUUAAGAAGGAGACAAGGAAAAUAAGGCUACAGUGUAUACCAUCUGACUGCUGCGGACCAAGGAUGUAAACAGUUAGCCAUGGCUCUCCAACCUCCUGGAAAUCAGGAUUCUGCUCAUACAGAAAGGCGCCAGAAUGUUUGUCUGAGUUAAGUGCAUACUUCUUUUUUAGUAUCUAAGAAUAGUUAUCCUCCUUUCCUCUCCCAUUACUGCUUGGGUAUCCUUAAAAAUCCUCACCAGCUAUUAAGUAUCAUGGAGUUACGCAAAGAGGUCUGCAGGGAACUUGAUGGCUUCCCAAAGUGGAUCAGAGAACCUCACAGGAGGCCCUAGGCUUGAAAGGAUGAUUGCAGAAAGGAUGACCUACAAGUGGAUGGUCAGAUCUGGCUGCAAAUGGAUGUCUGAAAGAAAACGGGGAUCCUAGGAAACCCAUCACAGCCCUCUAUGAGCUUCAGAAACCAGCAAGCAGUCCCAGCUAAGGUCCCGGUCAGCAGCCAGCAUUGACCACCAGAUGUGUGAAUGAAGAGGCCUUCAGAUGAUUGCAGCCCCUAUUGUUAAGGCAACCCCAACCUCCGAGUCUUCCCAGCAGAGGAUUCAGCUACUAUGGAGUCAAGAUAAGUCAUUCCCACUGUACCCUGUCUGGGGUCCUGACACAUGAAGAUUGGAAGUGGUUUGUCACAUAGCAAUAGUAACUGAAACACUGGGAGAGGGACGUCUUUAAGAGGAGAAAUUAAGUUCCCAAUGAGAUUUUAAAGAUGUACUAAUGAAACAAUCAAGUAGAGAUAUCAAGUAGUUAGUUGGACAUGUGAGCGUAAGCAGACUUCUUGGCUGGAGAUAUACUAAUGGCAAACAGCAUAUGGAUGUCAUUUAAUUUCCCAGGCCUGGGUGAGAUCACCUACAGCAGGAGGUGGACAGAGAAGAGGAGCUGGUUCAAGACCUCAUUCUGAGGAAGCCCAGUAUUUAGAGGUAGGGAAGAGAAGGAAGAGCCAGAAAAGGGAAUUGAGACAGAGUGCCCAGGGAGGCAAGAAAAAAAAAACACCCAAGAGAAUGGUUUGUCACAAAAGCUGAGAGAGAACAUUAUUUCCAGAACAAAGAGAGCGGUCAACUUUGUGGGAAACUAUUGAGAGUCAAAAAAGAUAAGAGAAAAAUGGUCAUUAGAUUUGGCAACAAAGAGAUCACUUGAGACCUUGAAAAGAACAAUUUCAGUGGGAGUGGAUGGGGCAGACACAUAAUGGGGGUUUUGAUCUCUCAGGGAAAGAAGAGCAGUCUAUUAUUUCAGAAAAAGUUGGAUCAGCCAUGCCAUAUGCAGCUAGCUUAAGUGCUACUGAAACGACACAAUUUACCUGCUUAGACAAACAGCAUAAUGUAGCAAACAGCAUAAAUUUUUAGCAUUAGACAGAACUGGGUUGAAAUUCUACAGACAAAUUACUUAAACUCAUUAUGGUUCAGUUUGUUUAUCUGUAAACUGCAGAGGAAAAAACCACUUUUCUUCUAUUCUCCUAGGUUCUACAGUUAGGAACCUAGAAAUUGAACUGACAAAAGACAGGUUAACAAGAGAAAAACAGAGCUUAUGAAUGUGUGCAAUGCACAUGCAUUUGGGAGAAACUCAGUGAUGAGUGUAACUUGCAGGAGUAGUUGUUAUGUAGCAUCGUAACAAAGAUGCUACAUAAAAACUACUCAGUGAUGAGUAGUUUGCAGGAGUAGUUGUUAUGUAGCAUCGUAACGAAGAAUGGUGUAUUUGUAGAGAUGUGGCAAAACGAAGGAAAAGGGGUUUAAGCUUUUGGAGUGACAAAUUGUGGGGAGGUAAAUAUGUGGAGAGAAACUAAUGGAAAAUAGGAGUUAUUUUAUUAGGGUUUACUAUGUAGGUACCUUUUGGUGCUAUCUCUGGGCUAGAGUUAUCUCCUCGUCUCUAGUGAUUAUGAGUCUAAGAGUUUCCUCUUCCUGGUA
rnacentral:lncRNA from 1 species